UGUAAUAGUUUGGGAACUCAAGGGUGGUUGGCUCACACCUCACUUAGAAUGGGGGUGAGGCCUUUGACAGUAUAUGAGGCAUUGAUGUUUGCAGUUUCCUUUGCAGCAUUCAUUGUAUCAAUACUAGCUUUUCAACAUAAAAAAUAACCCACCUUUGAGUUAGCGCCUCAGAUGGGUUAAUUACCUUAACUGGCCAAUCCCCUUGUAGGGACCGACUAUUAUAUUGACUACUUGAUGUUACCGCAUCAAGUA
rnacentral:sRNA from 1 species